AUGCACGCUAGCGGCAGGCCUCACACAUGCCAGUCGAGGGAGAAGCCCUUUCGGGGGCAGAAACCGGCGCACGGGUGCGUAACGCGUAUGCAACCUACCUUUCACAGGGGGAUAGCCCGAAGAAAUUUGGAUUAAUACCCCAUAAUAUUAUUGGAUGGCAUCAUUUGAUAAUUAAAACUGCGGUGGUGAAAGAUGGGCAUGCGUCCUAUUAGCUAGUUGGAGUGGUAACGGCACCCCAAGGCUACGAUAGGUAGGGGUCCUGAGAGGGAGAUCCCCCACACUGGUACUGAGACAGGGACCAGACUCCUACGGGAGGCAGCAGUGAGGAAUAUUGGUCAAUGGUCGGAAGACUGAACCAGCCAUGCCGCGUGCAGGAAGAAUGCCUUAUGGGUUGUAAACUGCUUUUAUAUGGGAAGAAUAAGGCGUACGUGUACGUUGAUGACGGUACCAUAUGAAUAAGCAUCGGCUAACUCCGUG
rnacentral:rRNA from 1 species